rnacentral:rRNA from 1 species
AACGAACGCUGGCGGCAGGCUUAACACAUGCAAGUCGAGCGCGCAGCAAUACGAGCAGCAGACGGGUGAGUAACGCGUGGGAAUCUACCCAACCCUACGGAAUAACCCAGGGAAACUUGGACUAAUACCGUAUACGCCCUUUGGGGGAAAGACUUAUCGGGGAUGGAUGAGCCCGCGUUGGAUUAGCUAGUUGGUGGGGUAAAGGCCUACCAAGGCGACGAUCCAUAGCUGGUCUGAGAGGAUAAUCAGCCACAUUGGGACUGAGACACGGCCCAAACUCCUACGGGAGGCAGCAGUGGGGAAUAUUGGACAAUGGGCGCAAGCCUGAUCCAGCCAUGCCGCGUGAGUGAUGAAGGCCCUAGGGUUGUAAAGCUCUUUCACCGGAGAAGAUAAUGACGGUAUCCGGAGAAGAAGCCCCGGCUAACUUCGUGCCAGCCGCCGCAGUAAGAC